rnacentral:rRNA from 1 species
AGAGUUUGAUCCUGGCUCAGGAUGAACGCUAGCUACAGGCUUAACACAUGCAAGUCGAGGGGAAACGACAUCGAAAGCUUGCUUUUGAUGGGCGUCGACCGGCGCACGGGUGAGUAACGCGUAUCCAACCUGCCCACCACUUGGGGAUAACCUUGCGAAAGUAAGACUAAUACCCAAUGACGUCUCUAGAAGACAUCUGAAGGAGAUUAAAGAUUUAUCGGUGAUGGAUGGGGAUGCGUCUGAUUAGCUUGUUGGCGGGGUAACGGGCCCACCGAAGGCGACGAUCAGUAGGGGUUCUGAGAGGAAGGUCCCCCGACAUUCGGAACUGAGACACGGUCCAAACUCCUACGGGAGGCA